UACGGGGGGAGCAAGCGUUGUUCGGAUUUACUGGGCGUAAAGGGCGCGUAGGCGGUCAGCACAAGUCAGUUGUGAAAUCUCCGAGCUUAACUCGGAAAGGUCAACUGAUACUGUGCGACUAGAGUGCGGAAGGGGCAACUGGAAUUCUUGGUGUAGCGGUGAAAUGCGUAGAUAUCAAGAGGAACACCUGCGGCGAAGGCGGGUUGCUGGGCCGACACUGACGCUGAAGCGCGAAAGCUAGGGGAGCAAACGGG
rnacentral:rRNA from 1 species